CGCGCUCAGUGAGCCGUUUCUCGGGCAGCAGGGUUGAAUUACCAUCCUCUCAGCUGACAGCCCUGGCUCUGCUGAGCGAGCUCAUGAAUUAGUGAAAGCUAAUGUGAAUGAAUUGGUGAAAGAGAAUGUGAGUGAAUUCGUGAAGGAUCCGCGCUCCUGCCCGGCCAGCGGGGCUGUGGGGUGAGCCCUUCCCGAGUGGUUCCCAUGUCCCACAAAGCCAGCCCUGAUGCUGCCGCCAGAGUUAGAUCCGUGCCGAUGGAGACACCACACAUUAUGAACAUGAACUGAAGGAUGUGGAGCAGGAGAGGAAUCGUCUGAGCCCUCAGCAUGUCCGAGUGUGCCCCGGGGCACUGCAGCACGCCCAGAUAAAAUCAGACUAUGACCAUCUUCGAGAAACCCUCCUCAGAGUGACCAAAGAACGAGAUUUGGCUGUGAAGGGGAAACACCAGCUCCAAGCCAAGCUGGAGAACCUAGAGCAGGUC